GACGAACGCUGGCGGCGUGCUUAACACAUGCAAGUCGAACGGAAAGGCCCUGCUUUUGUGGGGUGCUCGAGUGGCGAACGGGUGAGUAACACGUGAGUAACCUGCCCUUGACUUUGGGAUAACUUCAGGAAACUGGGGCUAAUACCGGAUAGGAGCUCCUGCUGCAUGGUGGGGGUUGGAAAGUUUCGGCGGUUGGGGAUGGACUCGCGGCUUAUCAGCUUGUUGGCGGGGUAGUGGCUUACCAAGGCUUUGACGGGUAGCCGGCCUGAGAGGGUGACCGGCCACAUUGGGACUGAGAUACGGCCCAGACUCCUACGGGAGGCAGCAGUGGGGAAUAUUGCACAAUGGGCGGAAGCCUGAUGCAGCAACGCCGCGUGCGGGAUGACGGCCUUCGAGUUGUAAACCGCUUUCGCCUGUGACGAAGCGUGAGUGACGGUAAUGGGUAAAGAAGCACCGGCUAACUACGUG
rnacentral:rRNA from 1 species